AGAGUUUGAUCAUGGCUCAGGACGAACGCNGGCGGCGCGCUUAACACAUGCAAGUCGUGCGGUACCGAUGGCAAGUCUUCUUGACGAGCCUUCGGUAUAGCGGCGGGCGGGUGAGUAACACGUGAGUAGCUGUCCUAGGGAGGGGGAUAACGCCUGGAAACGGGUGCUAAAACCCCAUAAGCCUCGAAAGAGGUAAAAGUGCAUCACUGCAGUCCUAGGGUGUGCUCGCGGCCUAUCAGCUAGUUGGUGAGGUAAGGGCUCACCAAGGCCAAGACGGGUAGCCGGCCUGAGAGGGUGUACGGCCACACUGGAAUUGAGAUACGGUCCAGACUCCUACGGGAGGCAGCAGUGGGGAAUUUUGGGCAAUGGGCGAAAGCCUGACCCAGCGACGCCGCGUUGGGGAUGAAGUCCUUCGGGGCGUAAACCCAUGUUGUAGGGGAAGAAGAAAGUGACGGUACCCUACGAGAAAGCCCCGGCCAACUACGUGCCAGCAGCCGCGGUAAAACGUAGGGGGCGAGCGUUGUCCGGAAUUACUGGGCGUAAAGGGCAUGCAGGCGGUGCGCCAAGUCGGGGGUGUAAAGUUACGGCUCAACCGUGACCUUGCAAUCGAAACUGGCGCACUGGAGUGCGGGAGAGGGAAGUGGAAUUCCCGGUGUAGCGGUGAAAUGCGUAGAUAUCGGGAGGAACGCCAGUGGCGAAGGCGGCUUCCUGGCCCGCGACUGACGCUCAUGUGCGAAAGCCAGGGGAGCGAACCGGAUUAGAUACCCGGGUAGUCCUGGCCGUAAACGAUGGGUGCUAGGUGUAGGCGCGUCAAGCGUCUGUGCCGAAGUUAACGCGAUAAGCACCUCGCCUGGGGAGUACGGUCGCAAGGCUGAGACUCAAAGGAAUUGACGGGGGCCCGCACAAGCGG
rnacentral:rRNA from 1 species